rnacentral:rRNA from 1 species
UACGUAGGGGGCAAGCGUUGUCCGGAUUCAUUGGGCGUAAAGAGCGUGUAGGCGGCCAGGUAGGUCGGUUGUGAAAACUGGAGGCUCAACCUUCAGACGUCGACCGAAACCAUCUGGCUAGAGUCCGGGAGAGGAGAGUGGAAUUCCUGGUGUAGCGGUGAAAUGCGCAGAUAUACAGGAAGAACACCCGUGGCGAAGGCGGUUCUCUGGGACGGUACUGACGCUGAGACGCGAAAGCGUGGGGAGCGAACAGG